rnacentral:rRNA from 1 species
AACGCGAAGAACCUUACCCAGGCUCGAACGGCAACUGACAUCCGGCGAAAGCCGGCUCCCGCAAGGGCAGUUGUCGAGGUGCUGCAUGGCUGUCGUCAGCUCGUGUCGUGAGAUGUUGGGUUAAGUCCCGCAACGAGCGCAACCCUUGUCCUCUGUUGCCAUCAGGUUAUGCUGGGCACUCUGAGGAGACUGCCGGUGAUAGACCGGAGGAAGGUGGGGAUGACGUCAAAUCAUCAUGCCCCUUAUGUCUUGGGCUGCACACGUGCUACAAUGGCAGGUACAAUGAGCUGCGAUACCGUGAGGUGGAGCGAAUCUCAAAAAGCCUGUCUCAGUUCGGAUUGGGGUCUGCAACUCGACCCCAUGAAGUCGGAGUCGCUAGUAAUCGCAGAUCAGCAACGCUGCGGUGAAUACGUUCCCGGGCCUUGUACACA